AGCAGCAGUAUCCAUUAAAGGUAAGCAGUUUUUCCACCGAGACACAAGUAGAGGGGCAUCCACUGGAAUCCUUUUGCUGCGAUCCAAAGACACCGAGCCUCCUUUCACAUGCGUGCAGCUGAAGAAAAACCACAGUGCUCCGAGAUGUCUUCUGGCGGAGCCAUCUCAUCUGUACUCCUUGCGAACUGCCUUACUGUGCUCCUCCCGCACCGCACAGCUGCUAUCU
rnacentral:lncRNA from 1 species